rnacentral:rRNA from 1 species
CCCCUAGACGUUCUGGGCUGCACGCGCGCUACAAUAAUACGCACAGCGAGUAUCACCGAGCUCGAAAGGGCAAGGUAAACAAUAGAAAAGGUACUGUAAUGGUUAUAGAUCCUUGUAAUUAUUGAUCUUCAACGAGGAAUUCCUAGUAAGUAUGUGUCAUCAUCACGCACUGAUUACGUCCCUGCCCUUUGUACACACCGCCCGUCGCUCCUACCGAUUGAGUGGUCCGGUGAGGCUUUGGGAUCUGAGCGGAAAGAGCGUUUCGCUGUUUCUGCUCGGAAAACUCAGUCGAACCUUAUCAUUUAGAGGAAGGAGGAGUCGUAACA